rnacentral:rRNA from 1 species
UACGUAGGGGGCAAGCGUUGUCCGGAAUCAUUGGGCGUAAAGCGCGCGUAGGCGGCCCGAUCAGUCCGCUGUAAAAGUCCAGGGCUCAACCCUGGAAAGCCGGUGGAUACUGUCGGGCUAGAGUCCGGAAGAGGCGAGUGGAAUUCCUGGUGUAGCGGUGGAAUGCGCAGAUAUCAGGAGGAACACCGAUAGCGAAGGCAGCUCGCUGGGACGACACUGACGCUGAGACGCGAAAGCGUGGGGAGCGAACAGG